UACGGAGGGUGCAAGCGUUAAUCGGAAUUACUGGGCGUAAAGCGCACGCAGGCGGUCUGUUAAGUCAGAUGUGAAAUCCCCGGGCUUAACCUGGGAACUGCAUUUGAAACUGGCAGGCUUGAGUCUUGUAGAGGGGGGUAGAAUUCCGGGUGUAGCGGUGAAAUGCGUAGAGAUCUGGAGGAAUACCGGUGGCGAAGGCGGCCCCCUGGACAAAGACUGACGCUCAGGUGCGAAAGCGUGGGGAGCAAACAGG
rnacentral:rRNA from 1 species